UAUUGCGCAAUGGAGGAAACUCUGACGCAGUGACGCCGCGUAUAGGAAGAAGUUUUUCGGAANGUAAACUAUUGUCGUUAGGGAANNGCNNNGNCAGUACCUAAGGAGGAAGCUCCGGCUAACUACGUGCNNNCNGCCGCGGUAAUACGUAGGGAGCGAGCGUUAUCCGGAAUUAUUGGGUGUAAAGGGUGCGUAGACGGGAAAACAAGUUAGUUGUGAAAUCCCUCGGCUUAACUGAGGAACUGCAACUAAAACUAUUUUUCUUGAGUGCAGGAGAGGUAAGUGGAAUUCCUAGUGUAGCGGUGAAAUGCGUAGAUAUUAGGAGGAACACCAGUGGCGAAGGCGACUUACUGGACUGUAACUGACGUUGAGGCACGAAAGUGUGGGGAGCAAACAGG
rnacentral:rRNA from 1 species